rnacentral:rRNA from 1 species
CGCAAUCUGUGCAUGCAGCAUAUCAAUAAGCGGAGGAAAAGAAACUAACAAGGAUUCCCCUAGUAACGGCGAGUGAAGCGGGAAGAGCUCAAAUUUGAAAUCUUAAAGGUUUUCCCUUGACGAAUUGUAGUUUAAAGAAGUGUUUUCUGUUGAAGUUUUGGUAAAAGUUCUUUGGAAUAGGACAUCAUAGAGGGUGAGAAUCCCGUAUUUGACCAUUUACUUUUCAGCUGUGUGAUACACUUUCAAAGAGUCGGAUUGUUUGAGAAUGCAGUCCAAAAUGGGUGGUAAAUUUCAUCUAAAGCUAAAUAUUGGCGAGAGACCGAUAGCGAACAAGUACCGUGAGGGAAAGAUGAAAAGAACUUUGAAAAGAGAGUUAAACAGUACGUGAAAUUGUCAAAAGGGAAGCGUUUGACACCAGUGUUGUUUUCUCGAAAAUCAAUUAAAAAGAGUUAGAUUUUGUUGUGUAUUGACCUUAACAGCUUGCAUUUCAAUUUUCUUGCUUUUUUUAAUGCACUUUUCGUUUAACAAGUCAACAUCAGUUUCUUUUGUUGUAAAAAGGUCAUUGGAAGGUGGCUUUCUUUUCGGAGAAAGUGUUUAUAGCCUUUGACUCCUGCAAUCGGAGAGACUGAGGUCUGCAGCGUAGAUCCUUCGGGGUUAGAUAGCAUUUGUGCUAAGUUAUAGCUUUCUAUAGACAACUUGUUGACUAUGAUUAGUCUUGUAGCUUACUCGCUUAUGCUAUUUUACCUACGCUUAGGAUGUUGAUGUGAUACUGCGAGCA